rnacentral:rRNA from 1 species
GACGAACGCUGGCGGCGUGCUUAACACAUGCCAGUCGAACGGAAAGGCCCCUUUGGGGGUACUCGAGUGGCGAACGGGUGAGUAACACGUGAGUAACCUGCCCUUGACUUCGGGAUAACUUCAGGAAACUAGGGCUAAUACCGGAUAGGAAUCCUUGCUGCAUGGUGGGGGUUGGAAAGCUUCGGCGGUUUUGGAUGGACUCGCGGCUUAUCAGCUUGUUGGUGGGGUAGUGGCUUACCAAGGCUUUGACGGGUAGCCGGCCUGAGAGGGCGACCGGCCACAUUGGGACUGAGAUACGGCCCAGACUCCUACGGGAGGCAGCAGUGGGGAAUAUUGCACAAUGGGCGGAAGCCUGAUGCAGCAACGCCGCGUGCGGGAUGACGGCCUUCGGGUUGUAAACCGCUUUCAGCAGGGGCGAAGCUUGUGGUGACGGUACCUGCAGAAGAAGCACCGGCUAACUACGUG